AUUGAACGCUGGCGGCAGGCUUAACACAUGCAAGUCGAGCGGAGAGAGGUAGCUUGCUACCGAUCUUAGCGGCGGACGGGUGAGUAAUGCUUAGGAAUCUGCCUAUUAGUGGGGGACAACAUUUCGAAAGGAAUGCUAAUACCGCAUACGUCCUACGGGAGAAAGCAGGGGAUCUUCGGACCUUGCUCUAAUAGAUGAGCCUAAGUCGGAUUAGCUAGUUGGUGGGGUAAAGGCUUACCAAGGCGACGAUCUGUAGCGGGUCUGAGAGGAUGAUCCGCCACACUGGGACUGAGACACGGCCCAGACUCCUACGGGAGGCAGCAGUGGGGAAUAUUGGACAAUGGGCGCAAGCCUGAUCCAGCCAUGCCGCGUGUGUGAAGAAGGCCUUAUGGUUGUAAAGCACUUUAAGCGAGGAGGAGGCUACUUUAGUUAAUACCUAGAGAUAGUGGACGUUACUCGCAGAAUAAGCACCGGCUAACUCUGUGCCAGCCGCCGCCGUAAGAC
rnacentral:rRNA from 1 species